CUGCAUGCAGCGGUGGCGUUCGCAUGCAUUGGUUUGGACUGCGGAGGCGCAUCUCGAGGAGAGGAGGAGAGGGGGGAGAAUCAGAGGCCUCGAGGCGGCUUAGGACGUGCUCGCCGGCGAGCGUGCUUCCGCAUCUGCCUGGCGCGCUGGGUUGGAUCGGGGCGCCAGGGUUUCCCCGCCGCCGCCCCACAGCAGACAGGGGUUGACCGGGAGAAGCAGUCGGGUGGCGGUGGAGGCGGCGGUGGCUCGGACUACAUCUAUGAUGACGACGGCUCGGGAGCGGCGAGCGGCCGAUUCAUCUCCUUGCUAGCCCCUCGCCCCCCAAAGAAGAUGCAGACACACAGGUAGCUGGAUGGAUUUUUCGUACAGAAGCGCACGCACAUAUGGAAACUGCAAGCCGCCGGUGAAGACAGCUUCAGCAUCACCACCAAGGACGGAAUCAAGGGUCAGCUUCAUCUGAACCAACUGCGAGGACCAUGUUCAGUUCUUACCCGAUGAAUCUUUAAAGACCAUCCCGCUGGAGGAGAUCCUGACUAUCGAUGUCAAGCCAGGGUGGAAGAAGGGCACGGAUAUCACCUUCCUAGAUGGAAGGAUCUGAUUUUUCACGUGCAGUGAUCUGUUUCAAAAGUUAUUGCUAUGUAAGUUUUAUAUUAACACUAUAGUGUAUAGAGUUAUAUUUAUAGAUAUUUCAUUUUUCGCAUAAGAUGAGGCAUCAUUUUAUUUUUAAAUAUUUUUUGAAGUAAAAUUUGUGAAUAAACUGACUAAUGUUUCGGUGGAUAUGAAUGGUUGUGAC